UAUAAAUUAAUAAAAUAAAUGAGAACAUGAUGUUGGUUCAGAUCUAAUGCUAUGUAGAGGCAUAACACAUGCAAAUAAUUUAUAUAUUUAUAUAUAUAAAUUGUGAUAAGGUGAGUGACAAUGUAUAAAAAAAAUUAUACAUUACAGAUGUAGGUAUUAGAUGUAAAAAUCUAGCCAUGGAACUGGAGCCGGCGAUUUUCGUCACAACGGCCACAUAACUUCGAUAGAGGUUACUCUUAUUAAGAGCAGCAGUGGGGAAUCUUUGACAAUGAUCUAACGAUUGAUCAAGCUAUCUACGAGAAGGAAAUUAUAUAAAUAAUUUUAUAUCUCCCUUCGGGGGGAAAUAUUAUUAGAUUAAAUAAUUAAAGGAAAACUAUAAACUUCUAAGUAUAUAUAAUAAUGAUAUAUAUAUGAAAAAGUCCUAACUAAAACAUGUGCCAGCAGCUGCGGUUAGACAUGGAGGGCUAGCAUUGUUCGGAAUGGCUUAAAGAACCUGUAGAACGAUUUAUAAUUAAAAUAAAUUAGAAUAAAUUAUAAAGUGAUAUGAAAUAAAGUUAGAGGGAUGAAAUACAACGAAAACAUUAUGACAGCAAUAAAAUCACAAUAAUUUAUUGACGUUGUGAGGUGAAGGCUACGGGCGCAACAUGGAUUCGAUACCCAUUUAGUCGUAGCAGUGAACUAUGAAUACAAUAAAAGAAAAGUGAAAAUGAAUAGUAUUCCGCCUGACUAGUACGCUCGCAAGGGUGAAAUACAAGACAUUAGACGGUUGUAGUCAUGAGCAGUGGAACAUGUCGUUUAAUUGGAUAAUCCUCCUAAAAUCUUACCAUCUCUUGAAUAUCUUACAGGCGUUACAUCGUUGUCGUCAGUUCAUGCCGUGAGGUUUAAUAUUUAGUUAUUUAAUGAACGUAAUCCCUUAUAUAUAUCUUUAUAUAUUAAGCAUUAUUGAGAAAUAAUGGGAAGUCGGGGCCGAAGACUAAUCAUGAUGACCCUUAUGAGAUGGGCUAUAGACGUGUUACGAAGUUAUUGACAAUUAUAUUUAUAUUAUAAAUUAAUUUAAAUAUUAAACAAUAAGAUUAUGACAUAGUUACUUUCAUGGAUUGUAGUCUGAAAUUCGAUUACAUGAAGGAGGAAUUGCUAGUAAUCGCGAACUAGAGUGUCGCGGUGAAAUUUUUAACUACUUCGUACUAACCACUCAUCAACAGCAAGAAACUCUUACUUUCCUUACAUUUUUAACUUUUAAUUAAGUUAAAUUUGACCUAGGUUUGUUUACAAGUGACCUGCUGUAAGUUGAAAUACGGUUCGGUUAGGGGAACCUGAUCGGGUUUUAUUAUUUUUAAAUAUAUUCUACUCAA
rnacentral:rRNA from 1 species